rnacentral:rRNA from 1 species
AUUGAACGCUGGCGGCAGGCCUAACACAUGCAAGUCGAGCGGAUGAAGGGAGCUUGCUUCUGGAUUCAGCGGCGGACGGGUGAGUAAUGCCUAGGAAUCUGCCUGGCUGUGGGGGAUAACGUCCGGAAACGGGCGCUAAUACCGCAUACGUCCUGAGGGUGAAAGUGGGGGAUCUUCGGACCUUACGCUAUCAGAUGAGCCUAGGUCGGAUUAGCUAGUUGGUGGGGUAAAGGCCUACCAAGGCGACGAUCCGUAACUGGUCUGAGAGGAUGAUCAGUCACACUGGAACUGAGACACGGUCCAGACUCCUACGGGAGGCAGCAGUGGGGAAUAUUGGACAAUGGGCGAAAGCCUGAUCCAGCCAUGCCGCGUGUGUGAAGAAGGUCUUCGGAUUGUAAAGCACUUUAAGUUGGGAGGAAGGGCAGUAAGUUAAUACCUUGCUGUUUUGACGUUACCAACAGAAUAAGCACCGGCUAACUUCGUG